CCUACGGGAGGCUGCAGUGGGGAAUAUUGCACAAUGGAGGAAACCCUGAUGCAGCGACGCCGCGUGCAGGAAGACGUCUUUCUGUGUUUAAAGCUCUAUCAGCAGGGGAGAAAAUUACGGUACCUGAUUCAGACUCCCCGGCUAACUCCGUGCCAGCAGCCGCGGUAAUACGUAGGGGGCAAGCGUUAUCCGGAUUUACUGGGUGUAAAGGGGGCGUAGACGGCAGCACAAGUCAGGAGUGAAAUGCCGGGGCUUAACCCCGGAACUGCUUUGGAAACUGUGCAGCUAGAGUGCAGGUGAGGUAAGUGGAAUGCAUAGUGUAGCGGUGAAAUGCGUAGAUAUCAGGCGGAACACCAGUUGCGAAGGCGGCUUACUGGACUGCAACUGACGUUGAGGCUCGAAAGCGUGGGGAGCAAACAGGAUUAGAUACCCUAGUAGUC
rnacentral:rRNA from 1 species